rnacentral:rRNA from 1 species
CCUACGGGUGGCAGCAGUGGGGAAUAUUGCACAAUGGGGGAAACCCUGAUGCAGCGACGCCGCGUGAGUGAAGAAGUAUUUCGGUAUGUAAAGCUCUAUCAGCAGGGAAGAAAUAGCGACCUUUGGGUCGCCAGACGGUACCUGACUACGAAGCACCGGCUAACUCCGUGCCAUCAGCCGCGGUAAUACGUAGGGGGCAAGCGUUAUCCGGAUUUACUGGGUGUAAAGGGAGCGUAAACGGCAGACCAAGUCUGAAGGGACAUGCCGGGACUUACCCCGGAACUGCUUUGGAAACGGUGCAGCUAGAGUGCAGGAGAGGUAAGUGGAAUUCCUAGUGUAGCGGUGAAAUGCGUAGAUAUUAGGAGGAACACCAGUGGCGAAGGCGGCUUACUGGACUGUAACUGACGUUGAGGCUCGAAAGCGUGGGGAGCAAACAGGAUUAGAUACCCGAGUAGUC